UUACGCUGUAUUCCCUAAGGGUACUUAAUCUAAUAAUUACUAAUAAUGGAUCUAAUAUUCAUAUAUCAAUGUUUAAUAAAUAAAAAAGUUAUUUAUAUAUUUUUGUCACCCCAACAAAAUAAAAGUUUAUUAUAAUUAUAUUAAUAUAUAAAUAAUUAAAUAAAUUAUAUAAAGAUCUAUAGGGUCUUGUCGUCUUCCAACAAAAUUUUAGCUUUUUAACUAAAAAAUUAAAUUUUAAAACAAAUAAAAUGAGACAGUCAAUUCCUCGUUAAACCUUUCAUUCCAGCCCUCUAUUAAAAGACUAAUGAUUAUGCUACCUUUGCACGGUCAGUAUACCGCGGCCGUUAAAUCUUAAUCACUGGGCAGGUCAGACCUUAAAUCUAACUCAAAAGGACAUGUUUUUGUUAAACAGGCG
rnacentral:rRNA from 1 species